AAAGCACUGUGAGGUGGAACGAGCCGCCGGGGGCUAAUACCCUUCGGCCGACGGUACCACCAGAGGAAGCACCGGCUAACCCUGUGCCAGCAGCCGCGGUAAUACGAGGGGGUGCAAGCGUUGUUCGGAAUUAUUGGGCGUAAAGCGCGUGUAGGCGGACCAUUAAGUCUGGUGUGAAAUCCCUCGGCUUAACCGAGGACGUGCAUUGGAUACUGGUGGUCUUGAGUCCUGGAGAGGGUAGCGGAAUUCCCAGUGUAGAGGUGAAAUUCGUAGAUAUUGGGAGGAACACCGGUGGCGAAGGCGGCUACCUGGACAGUGACUGACGCUGAGACGCGAAAGCAUGGGUAGCAAACAGGAUUAGAUACCCUGGUAGUCCAUGCCGUAAACGAUGGGUGCUAGUUGGUGCGGGUAUUGACCCCUGCGCUGACGAAGCUAACGCGUUAAGCACCCCGCCUGGGGAGUACGGCCGCAAGGCUAAAACUCAAAGGAAUUGACGGGGGC
rnacentral:rRNA from 1 species